GAUGAACGCUGGCGGCGUGCCUAAUACAUGCAAGUCGAGCGAACAGACGAGGAGCUUGCUCCUCUGACGUUAGCGGCGGACGGGUGAGUAACACGUGGAUAACCUACCUAUAAGACUGGGAUAACUUCGGGAAACCGGAGCUAAUACCGGAUAAUAUAUUGAACCGCAUGGUUCAAUAGUGAAAGACGGGUUUGCUGUCACUUAUAGAUGGAUCCGCGCCGCAUUAGCUAGUUGGUAAGGUAACGGCUUACCAAGGCGACGAUGCGUAGCCGACCUGAGAGGGUGAUCGGCCACACUGGAACUGAGACACGGUCCAGACUCCUACGGGAGGCAGCAGUAGGGAAUCUUCCGCAAAGGGCGAAAGCCUGACGGAGCAACGCCGCGUGAGUGAUGAAGGUCUUCGGAUCGUAAAACUCUGUUAUUAGGGAAGAACAAAUGUGUAAGUAACUAUGCACGUCUUGACGGUACCUAAUCAGAAAGCCACGGCUAACUACGUG
rnacentral:rRNA from 1 species